UACGUAGGUCGCAAGCGUUGUCCGGAUUUACUGGGCGUAAAGAGCGCGCAGGCGGCUGGUCAAGUCCGAUGUGAAAUCUCCCGGCUCAACUGGGAAACUGCAUCGGAAACUGAUCGGCUUGAAGAUGGGAGAGGGUAGUGGAAUUCCCGGUGUAGUGGUGAAAUGCGUAGAUAUCGGGAGGAACACCAGUGGCGAAGGCGGCUCACUGGACCGGUACUGACGCUGAUGCGCGAAAGCGUGGGGAGCAAACGGG
rnacentral:rRNA from 1 species